rnacentral:rRNA from 1 species
GACGAACCGUGCGAACGUUAUUCGGAAUCACUGGGCUUAAAGGGCGCGUAGGCGGGCGGUCAAGUCGGGGGUGAAAUCUUUCCGCUUAACGGGAAGCGUGCCUCCGAUACUGAUCGCCUCGAGGGAGGUAGGGGCAUGUGGAACUUCCGGUGGAGCGGUGAAAUGCGUAGAUAUCGGAAGGAACGCCGGUGGCGAAAGCGACGUGCUGGACCUCUUCUGACGCUGAGGCGCGAAAGCUAGGGGAGCAAACGGG